rnacentral:lncRNA from 1 species
GGUGGUCGAAGCAUAGAAGUGCUUGGGUACUAUUUUAGAUACAAGCUUAUCUGUAGAUAAAGUUAAUCGGGACCAUUGGAUUUUGCUUGUUGAUGGGAAAAGUCAUACGAAUAUGGUAAUCCUAAGAAUCUUUUUUUGAUUGUGAAUUUCUUUAUCAAAGUGGUCACCUCACUCAAUCACUACUCGUGUAUGUCAUGCCUACUUCGAGUUUAUCAAUUUGUUGAAGCAUAUCCAUCAUAUCCUUACAAUUCUAGAAAAUUCAAUUAAAUUUCAAAUUUUAUUUUUUAUAAAAAAAAC